rnacentral:rRNA from 1 species
CCCUUAGAUGUUCUGGGCCGCACGCGCGCUACACUGAUGCAUUCAACGAGUCUAAAACCUGGUCUGAUAGGGCUGGGUAAUCUUUUGAAUGUGCAUCGUGAUUGGGAUAGAUGAUUGCAAUUCUUCAUCUUCAACGAGGAAUGCCUAGUAAACGCAAGUCAUCAGCUUGCAUUGAUUACGUCCCUGCCCUUUGUACACACCGCCCGUCGCUCCUACCGAUUGAAUGUUCCGAUGAAUACCAUGGACUGAGAGUAUGAAUGGGUUCGCCUAUUUCUGCUGCUCGGGAAGUGGAGUAAAUCUUAACAUUUAGAGGAAGGAGAAGUCGUAACA